UACAGAGGUUGCAAGCGUUGUUCGGAAUUACUGGGCGUAAAGGGCGCGUAGGCGGUCUUGUAAGUCUUGUGUGAAAUCCCUCGGCUUAACUGAGGAACUGCACGGGAUACUGCGAGACUUGAGUUCGGGAGAGGGAAGCGGAAUUCCGGGUGUAGCGGUGAAAUGCGUAGAUAUCCGGAGGAACACCGGUGGCGAAGGCGGCUUCCUGGACCGAUUACUGACGCUGAGGCGCGAAAGCUAGGGGAGCAAACGGG
rnacentral:rRNA from 1 species